AUGAAGGCCUUCGGGUCGUAAAGUUCUGUUGUGAGGGAAGAACAAGGAUCGUGCGAACAGNACGGUCCCUUGACGGUACCUCACGAGGAAGCCCCGGCUAACUACGUGCCAGCAGCCGCGGUAAUACGUAGGGGGCAAGCGUUGUCCGGAAUUAUUGGGCGUAAAGGGCACGCAGGCGGUUCCUUAAGUCUGAUGUGAAAGCCCGUGGCUCAACCACGGAGGGCCAUUGGAAACUGGGGAACUUGAGAACUGAANAGGAGAGUGGAAUUCCACGUGUAGCGGUGAAAUGCGUAGAUAUGUGGAGGAACACCAGUGGCGAAGGCGACUCUCUGGUCGGUUUCUGACGCUGAGGUGCGAAAGCGUGGGUAGCAAACAGGAUUAGAUACCCUGGUAGUCCACGCCGUAAACGAUGAGUGCUAGGUGUUAGGGGGCUUCCACCCCUUAGUGCUGAAGUUAACGCAUUAAGCACUCCGCCUGGGGAGUACGGCCGCAAGGCUGAAACUCAAAGGAAUUGACG
rnacentral:rRNA from 1 species